CAAUUCCUCUACGUCGGCCCACAAUUGGAAACCUGAAUUUUAAUUUAUUUAUUCAUGACGUUGUCUAGCUUCUCAAUGAUGUGUGGGCCACCAACUGCCAGCUGCUUCUUCUCGAAUUGAAAUGAAUCCCAAAACAGAACGCGAUGUUGGCGGGAUGAAAUCCUUUGAUUACCGAUCAAGCUAACCUCUGGUCUCUGGCAGAUUCGCGGCAGUCAGUCACUGACAGGUGAACCCCAACCACAAGCGUCUUCCUCCCCGAGAUCUCAGACAAUGGUUCCCCGCUCGCAUGGCACAAAUCCGAGCUCCACGGCUCAACCACCCGUGCGGAGUCGCCGGGUUCUGUUACAGCCACCGCGAUCCAACCUCCGCUGGAGCCCCAUAUAAACAACUGAGGCCUCGCUCGCCCAUCAACCAUCGAACUCCGUGAAGCCCUCACCAUUGUAGCACCCGAGAGAGAGAGAGAACGUGAGAUGUGAGCCGCGGUAUGGGUCCCAUUGCCUCGGGUGAGUCGUGUGGGAUUCCCUGGGAAGCUCUGCGCGUGCUUGGGGUCUCACCAGGGGAGAAUGGCGACCGGAAUCCUUCAACAACGUCGAGCUGCGAGUUUAACAGAGACUCAUACGACGGCGGGGUUAAUACACCGCAGGAUCCAAG
rnacentral:lncRNA from 7 species